AGUGAACGCUGCGGUAGGCCUAACACAUGCAAGUCGAACGGCAGCACAGUAAGAGCUUGCUCUUACGGGUGGCGAGUGGCGGACGGGUGAGGAAUACAUCGGAAUCUACUUUUUCGUGGGGGAUAACGUAGGGAAACUUACGCUAAUACCGCAUACGACCUACGGGUGAAAGCAGGGGAUCUUCGGACCUUGCGCGAUUGAAUGAGCCGAUGUCGGAUUAGCUAGUUGGCGGGGUAAAGGCCCACCAAGGCGACGAUCCGCAGCUGGUCUGAGAGGAUGAUCAGCCACACUGGAACUGAGACACGGUCCAGACUCCUACGGGAGGCAGCAGUGGGGAAUAUUGGACAAUGGGCGCAAGCCUGAUCCAGCCAUACCGCGUGGGUGAAGAAGGCCUUCGGGUUGUAAAGCCCUUUUGUUGGGAAAGAAAAGCAGCAGGUUAAUACCCCGCUGUUCUGACGGUACCCAAAGAAUAAGCACCGGCUAACUUCGUG
rnacentral:rRNA from 1 species